UGACCUCGGAUCAGGUAGGGAUACCCGCUGAACUUAAGCAUAUCAAUAAGCGGAGGAAAAGAAACCAACAGGGAUUGCCCUAGUAACGGCGAGUGAAGCGGCAACAGCUCAAAUUUGAAAGCUGGCCUUCGGGUCCGCAUUGUAAUUUGUAGAGGAUGCUUUGGGGAGGCCGCCUGUUUAAGUUCCUUGGAACAGGACGUCAUAGAGGGUGAGAAUCCCGUAUGUGACAGGAAAUGGCACCCUAUGUAAAGCUCCUUCGACGAGUGGAGUUGUUUGGGAAUGCAGCUCUAAAUGGGAGGUAAAUUUCUUCUAAAGCUAAAUAUUGGCGAGAGACCGAUAGCGCACAAGUAGAGUGAUCGAAAGAUGAAAAGCACUUUGGAAAGAGAGUUAAAAAGCACGUGAAAUUGUUGAAAGGGAAGCGCUUGCAAUCAGACUGUUUAAACUGUUCGGCCGGUCUUAUGACCGGUUUACUCAGUUUGGACAGGCCAGCAUCAGUUUCGGCGGCCCGGAG
rnacentral:rRNA from 1 species